UACGAAGGGGGGCUAGCGUUGCUCGGAAUCACUGGGCGUAAAGCGCACGUAGGCGGAUUGCUAAGUCAGGGGUGAAAUCCUGGAGCUCAACUCCAGAACUGCCUUUGAUACUGGCGACCUUGAGUCCGGGAGAGGUGAGUGGAACUGCGAGUGUAGAGGUGAAAUUCGUAGAUAUUCGCAAGAACACCAGUGGCGAAGGCGGCUCACUGGCCCGGUACUGACGCUGAGGCACGAAAGCGUGGGGAGCAAACAGG
rnacentral:rRNA from 1 species